rnacentral:tRNA from 1 species
UAGAGUUAAGCAUUUUUAUGUGAUGCAAGAAAUUGUUAUUUUCUAGAACUUUCCUCUAG